rnacentral:lncRNA from 1 species
AGAGGGGCACCACUGCAUCAAAUUACUGAAGUGGAAAGAACAGUUGACAUUCUGUUUUAAAGUGACCAUGUAUUUGACCCACUUCUUCUCUAGUAAUGUCAUCACGAUUGUAUCUCAUUGCUGUGGGUUCUUGGAGGCUGACAGGCGGAACAAGUUGCUUCAGCUCACAGUUCUCAUCUGUCAUACAGAACAGCUUGCAGAUUCUUAUUAUGUGAAUGAAAUAUGGAGAGAGGGAUAUUUUUCUUCCUGGGCUAUCAAGCUUUGAAGCUCAGCAAAGAAGGAAAAUCCAUUGAGAACAGUCUGUAAAGCAAAUUUAACCAGAAGGCAACACAAAGAGAAAUCCUCAUAGUCCCUGGAAGAAAGGUGACAGAACACAGUGCAGACCAGGGACCUGCAGGCCACAUCCAGCUGCACAUGUAUUUUGUUUCAUCUGUACAGUGUUUUAAAGAAUUAGUUUGGUUGCCAACAUUUUAAAAAUUGAGGUAUUUAAAAUAAAUUUGUCAGUUUCCAAAUUCCCUUGGAAGAU